AGAGUUUGAUCCUGGCUCAGAACGAACGCUGGCGGCAGGCCUAACACAUGCAAGUCGAACGCCCCGCAAGGGGAGUGGCAGACGGGUGAGUAACGCGUGGGAACCUACCUUACGGUCGGGAAUAGCUCAGGGAAACUUGGGGUAAUACCGGAUACGCCCUUACGGGGAAAGAUUUAUCGCCGUUAGAUGGGCCCGCGUAGGAUUAGCUAGUUGGUGAGGUAACGGCUCACCAAGGCGACGAUCCUUAGCUGGUCUGAGAGGAUGAUCAGCCACACUGGGACUGAGACACGGCCCAGACUCCUACGGGAGGCAGCAGUGGGGAAUAUUGGACAAUGGGCGCAAGCCUGAUCCAGCCAUGCCGCGUGAGUGACGAAGGCCUUAGGGUUGUAAAGCUCUUUUGGCGGGGAAGAUAAUGACGGUACCCGCAGAAUAAGCUCCGGCUAACUUCGUG
rnacentral:rRNA from 1 species